UCUGCUGAUACUAAAGCUACUUCCAGCAAAGAAAGGGAUGGUAGGGAGUCUGCUGAUGAAGAAGAAGGUGCUGAAAAAGUCGAAUUGGAAGAUUUGGUUUGCGAGAAGGCUGUACUUGAAGGCAAGGAUGACCGUGGUGAACCUUGUGUUAUUGUUUCUUCCGAACACGUUGAUGUUAUCUCUCCGAAUUUUGAGGUUUCGCGACAAAGCGAGUUGAAUUUAAAAUCUCCACCAGAUGACACCAUCAAUCAGACUAAAAAAAAUGCAAGUGAAUCGAUUGCUGAAUUCAAAUCAAAGGAGUCUGGUCCUUCUUCAAGCCGCUUCAUACCGACGCAAACUGGUUGUAAAGUCCGUAUUUGUCCAUUUGAUGCUAAUCACAUUUUAUUCAGUGAUGCCACCAAACAAGACAUCAUUCAGAAUUGGCUGGAAGAAGGACGUCCUAAAGGGGCCAAGUUCGUAUCUCGACUAACUUUUUUCAGUUCUGUUUUAAU